rnacentral:rRNA from 1 species
UGGGGAAUAUUGCACAAUGGGCGCAAGCCUGAUGCAGCCAUGCCGCGUGUGUGAAGAAGGCCUUCGGGUUGUAAAGCACUUUCAGCGAGGAGGAAGGUGGUGAACUUAAUACGUUCAUCAAUUGACGUUACUCGCAGAAGAAGCACCGGCUAACUCCGUGCCAGCAGCCGCGGUAAUACGGAGGGUGCAAGCGUUAAUCGGAAUUACUGGGCGUAAAGCGCACGCAGGCGGUUUGUUAAGUCAGAUGUGAAAUCCCCGGGCUCAA